GACGGAGGGGGCUAGCGUUGUUCGGAAUCACUGGGCGUAAAGCGCGCGUAGGCGGCCGUUGAAGUUGGGCGUGAAAGCCCGGGGCUCAACCCCGGAAUUGCGCCCAAAACUGGAUGGCUGGAGACCGAGAGAGGGUGGUGGAAUUCCCAGUGUAGAGGUGAAAUUCGUAGAUAUUGGGAAGAACACCAGUGGCGAAGGCGGCCACCUGGCUCGGAUCUGACGCUGAGGCGCGAAAGCGUGGGGAGCAAACAGG
rnacentral:misc_RNA from 1 species